rnacentral:lncRNA from 10 species
UGGAAAGCAGAUUUUGAUAUGAGGAGUGGGGUCAGAGGAAGACAGAAGGAAAUAAGAACCGUGACAGCAAUGAGCAGGGAAGAGAGGGGAAAGGGGCCCCUCCCACGUGGGUGAAAGGAACUGAGUGGGCAGAUGGUGAAACUGACCCACAAAUGAUGCCUUCACGGCUUUGUGUCUUGAUUCCUUUUGUCCUUCUCACAGUCCUGUCACGGUGGUCUGCAUGUUGUGGGAGCACACAAUAACUGUUAGAGCUUGAUGGCCAUAAAUAAAAUUUGAAAGAAGGAUUUGGCUAUAUGAGACAAUUUCCCACUUGGCAUGAUUUGGCCUGGAGCCUGCAGACUAUCCACGGGGUGACUAACCAUCACUUCUUUACUGGGCAAGGAGUUUUCCUGUGUGUUUUUUUCCUCCUUAUCUAUUUUCAUGGCAUGUUGAGAUGGGGUUGGAGCCAGGACUUCAUGCAGAAGUGAAGAGCCUGGUGCUCAGCAGAGGGAGUGGCCUGCUUUCGGUCACACAGGAGCGGUGGAUCCCGCAGCUCAAAUUUGUCUUGUAUCACUGAACUCCACAAUGGACAGCCAUUCAUUCCUUACAGAGCCUUAAGAGCUUAUGAACACUACAAGAAAGCACCCCAGGAGAGACCUCUCUCUGGGGGAGGAACAGUGAACCUGGCUUGCCUGCCUCGGAAAGAAACCCUGAAGGACGUUUUCCUUGUUAAGAUUGCUCUUGUUAAAAAGCUGUGCAGUCCUAAAAUGUUAUUGAACAAUAGCUUUUCACACAAAGGCUGUGUAGCCAACAGUCCCCUCUAACCUGCUGCAACUCCUUGGCUUCCAUCUCCUGCAGAGGCUGCAGGGCAGGAGCCCAGGGCUCUACUGUGGCCUCCUCGGCCUCACCAUCCUCACCAGCUUGGCUUCCAUUCCUUCUGAACAGUCUUCUCCCCUGGGUACUUCUAUUUCCCUGUCUGUUGGGAGGGCUAUAGGAAAAGUGACUUGUAAAACUUUUAGUUAAGACAUCUCUUUAGUGCCAAUUGUUUGUUGGUGCUGUGAUUGUCGAGUUUUGUCUAAAUUUUGUCUAAAGUUAGAUACUUUACUUGGGAACAUUGUCUGAUAUCUACAUCAGAAAAAGAUCCGCACAGGUUAUUUGCAAUCCACUCAAACC